GAAGGUGUAGCUCAGUGGUAGAGCACUUACCUACAUGUAAAAGGCUCUGGGUUUGAUCCCCAGCACUGCA
rnacentral:tRNA from 1 species